AUAUGAGUUUGAUCCUGGCUCAGGAUGAACGCUGGCGGCGUGCUUAACACAUGCAAGUCGAACGGAAAGGCCCUGCUUUUGUGGGGUGCUCGAGUGGCGAACGGGUGAGUAACACGUGAGUAACCUGCCCUUGACUUUGGGAUAACUUCAGGAAACUGGGGCUAAUACCGGAUAGGAGCUCCUGCUGCAUGGUGGGGGUUGGAAAGUUUCGGCGGUUGGGGAUGGACUCGCGGCUUAUCAGCUUGUUGGUGGGGUAGUGGCUUACCAAGGCUUUGACGGGUAGCCGGCCUGAGAGGGUGACCGGCCACAUUGGGACUGAGAUACGGCCCAGACUCCUACGGGAGGCAGCAGUGGGGAAUCUUAGACAAUGGGCGCAAGCCUGAUCCAGCCAUGCCGCGUGAGUGAUGAAGGCCUUAGGGUCGUAAAGCUCUUUCGCCUGUGAAGAUAAUGACUGUAGCAGGUAAAGAAACCCCGGCUAACUCCGUGCCAGCAGCCGCGGUAAUACGGAGGGGGUUAGCGUUGUUCGGAAUUACUGGGCGUAAAGCGCGCGUAGGCGGCAAGUUAAGUUGGGUGUGAAAGCCCCGGGCUCAACCUGGGAACUGCAUUCAAAACUGGCUAGCUAGAGUACAGCAGAGGAUAGUGGAAUUUCCGGUGUAGCGGUGAAAUGCGUAGAGAUCGGAAGGAACACCAGUGGCGAAGGCGACUGUCUGGGCUGAUACUGACGCUGAGGUGCGAAAGCGUGGGGAGCAAACAGGAUUAG
rnacentral:rRNA from 1 species